rnacentral:rRNA from 1 species
AGAGUUUGAUCCUGGCUCAGAACGAACGCUGGCGGCGUGGUUUAGGCAUGCAAGUCGAGCGAUCGACCCCGGACAAUUUCCCUUCGGGGAAUGCGAUUGGGAUACGGAGCGGCAAACGGGUGAGUAACACGUGGGUAACCUGCCUUCAAGACUGGGAUAACUCUGAGAAAUUGGAGCUAAUACCGGAUAAAGUCUUUUUAGACAUCUGUAUAAGACUAAAAGUAACCUCUGCUUGCAUGUUGCUACUUGAAGAUGGGCCCGCGUCCUAUCAGCUUGUUGGUGAGGUAACGGCUCACCAAGGCGCUUGACGGGUAGCUGGUCUGAGAGGAUGGUCAGCCACACUGGGACUGAGACACUGCCCAGACUCCUACGGGAGGCUGCAGUCGAGAAUCUUUAGCAAUGGACGAAAGUCUGACUAUGCGACGCCGCGUGCGUGAUGAAGGCCUUCGGGUUGUAAAGCGCUGUCAGGCGGAAGGAAAGUCCAGCUUCUUAAUAAGAUGUUGGAUGUGACAGUACCGCCAGAGGAAGCCACGGCUAACUCCGUGCCAGCAGCCGCGGUAAUACGGAGGUGGCAAGCGUUGUUCGGAAUCACUGGGCGUAAAGGGUGCGUAGGUGGUUUGAUAAGUCUUCGGUGGAAUCUCCCAGCUUAACUGGGAAACUGCCGGAGAUACUGUCAGACUUGAGUUUGGAAAGGGAGAGUGGAAUUCCCGGUGUAGAGGUGAAAUUCGUAGAUAUCGGGAAGAACACCAGUGGCGAAGGCGACUCUCUAGUCCAAAACUGACACUGAGGUACGAAAGCUAGGGGAGCGAACAGGAUUAGAUACCCUGGUAGUCCUAGCCGUAAACGAUGAGCACUUGGUAUUUCUGCGUCAAGCGGGAGUGCCGAAGCUAACGCGUUAAGUGCUCCGCCUGGGGAGUACAGUCGCAAGGCCGAAACUCAAAGGAAUUGACGGGGGCCCGCACAAGCGGUGGAGCAUGUGGUUUAAUUCGACACUACGCGAGGAACCUUACCAGGGCUUGACAUGCUGGAAGUAGGAACCCGAAAGGGGGACCACCUGUAUCCAAUCAGGAGCCAGCACAGGUGCUGCAUGGCUGUCGUCAGCUCGUGUCGUGAGAUGUUGGGUUAAGUCCCACAACGAGCGCAACCCCUAUUCUGUGUUACCAUCAGGUUAAGCUGGGGACUUACAGAAGACUGCCCCGGAUAACGGGGACGAAGGUGGGGACGACGUCAAGUCAGGAUGGCCUUUAUGCCCUGGGCUACACACGUGCUACAAUGGCCUGUACAAUGGGUAGCAAUACCGCGAGGUGGAGCUAAUCCCCGAAAGCAGGCCUCAAUUCGGAUUGGAGGCUGCAAUUCGCCUCCAUGAAGCUGGAAUCGCUAGUAAUGGCGCACCAGCAACGGCGCCGUGAAUACGUUCCCGGGCCUUGUACACACCGCCCGUCAAGUCAACCGAGUCGAAUGCACUAGAAGUCGUUAACUCAACCCUUCGGGGAGAGCAGCGCCCAAGGUGUGUUUGGCAAGGGGGACUAAGUCGUAACAAGGUA